GAAAAAGCAAAGAGAAGAAGGCAGCCUCUCUUUCUCACAGGAAACAAAAAGGAGCACGGCUCUUCUUUUUAUCCAAUUACCAGCAGAGCAGACGCACGUCUGACAUUGAGGAUGGAUGAAAGGUGGAAGCUGCCUGCAGUGACAGCAUGACUGCUUUUCACAUGAUGCUCUUCUGGGGACCUGCGGCCCUUUGUGGAAGGUGGGGAUGGCCCCUUCCAGCCGCUCUUCACCGUGUGCCACGUCUCAGGUUCUCUUUUUGUUCAUCUGAGACACAGAACACCUCUUGAUGAAGGUCACAGCUUUGAUCCCCGUGGCUCGCUCUUGUGUUUGUAGCCAUUAUUAGUAACAUCAGCUCGUGCAUGCACUUCUCCCUGCCUGCCCUUGUCUGGCUGCAAGGGAGCAGGGGCAGGAUAACAAAAGAAAGUAUAAAUAGUCUUUUUAAAAGCCUGUUAAAUAGAAGUAGACUUUUUAGGGAGGAGGGAGAAAGAAUGAGGCGUGUUACCAUAGUAACUGCCAAUGGUUUAUUUAAGAAGGGCAAAGAAACAAACACCACAAAAAGGCGAAGUCGAGAGGAGCUGGAGAUCACUGGAGGAAUCUGUCGGGACACAGACAACAUGGGGCCAGGCUUCUGGGUCAGCAGCAUUAUCCUCACUUAGAGAGGCAGAUCUGAAGGACGUAGAGAGAUUAAACAACAUUCUCAGAGCCGUAGAGGAAAUGAGAGGUGACUUGAAGACCUGAACCUGCUUCUCAGAGGGCUAGCACAAAACUUGGUCUGAACUCCCAAAUGGACAAAUACAUUCCUCACCAAAGACACACACUGAACAGCUGUUGAAUGAACACAAAUAUUACUUGAUUGCUUGAAAUUAAAGGGGAGGAUGCAAUCCUGAUAAAGUGUCUGUGGGAGCAGAUUGCAAGUUGUUCUGAUGAAGAAGAGGCACUUUGUUUAACAUGAAAUUUCACCACAUGGUUUAUUUCUCAGUUCUCUUUGUAAUAGAUGUACAGAGUUUGGCCAAAGGUCAGGCAAGCUCUAGAAGGACCAUCAGUGUGUUUCACUCUCAUUUAGAAUGUGAAAUAGGUCUGGAAAAUAUUAAAGCUUCUCAGUGAAUACAAAUUCCAAUGAAUUCAUGGUUGGUCUUAUAAUAUUACUGCUAUUGUUACUUUCAUAAUGUAGCUGUUUAUUAACAUUCAUAAUGUUGCUGUUUAUAAAUUUCUGAAGUUCAGGAGUCAAGUGGUUGGGACAAGAUUCUUUUCAGUGGUGUCCAACUACAGAACAAGGGGCAAUGGGCAGAAACUGGAACACAUGGAAGAAUUUUUUUUACUGUGAGUGACAGAAUGCUGGAACAGGCUGCCCAGAGAGGUUGUAGGCUCUCCUUUUCUGGAGAUAUUUAAGACCCAUCUGGAUAUUUUCCUGUGGGACCUAUUAUAGGGAACGUGUUUCAGCAGGGGGGUUGGACUUGGUGAUCCUCAGAGGUCCCUUCCAACCGCUACAAUUCUGUGACUGUGUGAUAGCUACCCUGCUGAAAUCAGCAGCCUCAGUCAACUCACUGGUAAAAAAAAAAAUUCUUUGCUCUUAUUUCUAAUGCAAGAUGUCAUGAUUGCAUCAGUUCAAAUGCUCACUUUGUCCAGUUUUGUUGAGAUGUGUGUAUGGCAAUAUGCAUGACUUGGAAAUAAUCAUGGAAGGAAAAUUCAUUUCUGAAUAUCCUCUUUGGCCAUCAAAGCAGCAGGUCUCCCAGAUAAUCACCACAGAUCAGAAAGAUGCAAAUGGUAUUCAGAUAGCUCACUUUAAGCAGAUGUACCUUGGCAGUAGAAUAGUAAAUUCCCUCCUCAAAAUGUUGACUCAGAUGAAUGCUUUUCAGAAAUAAAAUGGUGUUAAAGGUGUUUUGUUUUUUUUAAUGAUACCAAUAGGCACCAAUAUUUUUUAAAAGCUAAUCUUCAAAAAACUGAAGGUUUUUUUGAAACUUUUAGAAUAUGUGUAUGUGGUUUUUUUUUGUGACAAUUUAGAAGUUCAGAUAGCCCCACUCCUGAAAACUCUUCCAAGCAAUUUGAAGAAGAUUCAUCCUUCUGUGUUCAUCCUUCAUGUUUCUGGUGCCUAACUCCAAGACACUUUGGUUUGUUAAAAGAAUUCUAUUUUCUUCCAGAAUGUCAGCAAUGCCAGGGUGAGAUGUGUCUUUCAGUCACUUCAGCAUCAUUGAUUCAAUGACUGUAUUAUCUGCAAUUUCUUCAUGGUGUUACAUUGUAGUGCCAAAUAUUUUCACUUCAGUUAAAAUAAAAUUCUUCCAACCAA
rnacentral:lncRNA from 1 species